rnacentral:rRNA from 1 species
GAUGAACGCUAGCUACAGGCUUAACACAUGCAAGUCGAGGGGCAGCAUGACGGAAGCUUGCUUCCGUUGAUGGCGACCGGCGCACGGGUGAGUAACGCGUAUCCAACCUGCCCAUCACUUGGGAAUAACCUUGCGAAAGUAAGACUAAUACCCAAUGAUAUCCCACGAAGGCAUCCGAAUGGGAUUAAAGAUUUAUCGGUGAUGGAUGGGGAUGCGUCUGAUUAGCUUGUUGGCGGGGUAACGGCCCACCAAGGCUACGAUCGGUAGGGGUUCUGAGAGGAAGGUCCCCCACAUUGGAACUGAGACACGGUCCAAACUCCUACGGGAGGCAGCAGUGAGGAAUAUUGGUCAAUGGGCGAAAGCCUGAACCAGCCAAGUAGCGUGCAGGAUGACGGCCCUAUGGGUUGUAAACUGCUUUUAGGCGGGGGUAAAGUGGCGGACGUGUUCCGCCUUUGCAAGUACCGCCAGAAAAAGGACCGGCUAAUUCCGUG